rnacentral:lncRNA from 1 species
UAUGUCCGAAGUCUGUUGCCUCCAGCUUGGCACCUCGUCGCUGCCUCUGGGGGUUCUUGGAGUCUGUCAAUUCACAGUUCUCCAUUCGUCCCUGGUCGAAGGAAGCGAGCGAGAAAGACUUCCAGCGAGUUGAGUAUUUUCCUCUUUUCAUCGAGAGUGAACCGACGGAAGAAGCCGAGCAGCGAGAGGCCUUUUCUUUUUGGAGAGAAGCACCGUGUUGAACGUGAAGGACUGGGUCGCGCUUUCCUUCAGCUCGUCAGUGCAUCUCGCCGCAGGUAAAUGAACGGCUUUAAAAGUGUCUCUGGAGACCUUUGAAGACAGAACAAGACGCAUACGCGGUUCCCCGGAUCUGAGAAGUCAAGUUUUCUUUUGGACAGCGAUGAAAAAACGAGAGCAUUCUAAGGACUCAGCGAGGGGGCACAAGAUGUCUCGUCGCAGCAGUGGCUACGUGUUGAAGUGAAAUGGAGGGAUAUUGACAAAGUUCAUCUUUCUCAGAGGCUUCAUGUUUAGGCUUGCUUGAAAUCCAGGACUUGGUAUCUUCUCUUUCAACAGGCAAAGACAUUGUUUCUUGUUUCCUUCAACUGCUGUCAAACAGAACGCGCGUUUUUUGUGAGCAGCCAGACACGUGACCGAGCUCGAGUAUGGAACUUUUUUCAAGGGAGGGAACAUUUUGAUGCAGGAUUCCGUUGGACUUUCUCUCGUG